ACAUGUUGUAGAUAUCCAGGUGGACAUGAGAUCAUGUUGGGGUGUAGACCCUGCAUGAACAAAUUAAUGCACGGACUAGAAGAAAAAUAGUGAAAGUUGUAGCCAUCGCAAAACACCCAAUACAUGUUCAAUUGUUAUUACAUGCCAUAAAACCAAAAACACAAAAAGGAUUCUAUUUGGGGGGGUGAAUGCGCUAUCCAAAAGGUAAUUCUCAGUGUAUAUAGGAUUCACCACAGUCAGAUGGGGACAAUGCAGUU
rnacentral:lncRNA from 1 species